rnacentral:rRNA from 1 species
AGUGAACGCUGGCGGUAGGCCUAACACAUGCAAGUCGAACGGCAGCACAGUAAGAGCUUGCUCUUACGGGUGGCGAGUGGCGGACGGGUGAGGAAUACAUCGGAAGCUACUUUUUCGUGGGGGAUAACGUGGGGAAACUUACGCUAAUACCGCAUACGACCUACGGGUGAAAUCAGGGGAUCUUCGGACCUUGCGCGAUUGAAUGAGCCGGUGUCGGAUUAGCUAGUUGGCGGGGUAAAGGCCCACCAAGGCGACGAUCCGUAGCUGGUCUGAGAGGAUGAUCGGCCACACUGGAACUGAGACACGGUCCAGACUCCUACGGGAGGCAGCAGUGGGGAAUAUUGGACAAUGGGCGAAAGCCUGAUCCAGCCAUACCGCGUGAGUGAAGAAGGUCUUCGGGUUGUAAAGCCCUGUUAUUGGGAAAGAAAAGCAGCAGGUUAAUACCCCGCUGUUCUGACGGUACCCAAAGAAUAAGCACCGGCUAACUUCGUG